rnacentral:rRNA from 1 species
ACUGCUCAGUAACACGUGGCUAACCUACCCUCAGGACGAGGACAACCCCGGGAAACUGGGACUAAUACUCGAUAGGCGAGGAGGCCUGGAAUGGUUUCUCACCUAAAGGGCUUUGGAAACAUGCUUUCAAUGUCGCCUGAGGAUGGGGCCGCGUCCGAUCAGGUUGUUGGUGAGGUAAUGGCUCACCAAGCCUAUAACCGGUACGGGCCGUGAGAGCGGUAGCCCGGAGAUGGGUACUGAGACAAGGACCCAGGCCCUACGGGGCGCAGCAGUCGCGAAAACUCCGCAAUGCACGAAAGUGUGACGGGGCUACCCCGAGUGCUCUCCGCUGAGGAAAGCUUUUCCCUGGUGUAACUAGCCGGGGGAAUAAGGAGAGGGCAAGACUGGUGUCAGCCGCCGCGGUAAUACCAGCUCUCCGAGUGGUAGGGAUGAUUAUUGGGCUUAAAGCGUCCGUAGCCGGCUUAGCAAGUUUCCUGUUAAACCCAGCGACUCAAUCGUUGGAUCGCGGGAAAUACUACUAGGCUAGGAGGCGGGAGAGGUCGACGGUACUUCUGGGGUAGGGGUGAAAUCCUAUAAUCCCGGGAGGACCACCAGUGGCGAAGGCUGUCGACUAGAACGCGCUCGACGGUGAGGGACGAAAGCUGGGGGAGCGAACCGGAUUAGAUACCCGGGUAGUCCCAGCCGUAAACGAUGCGAGCUAGGUGUUGGGUUGGCCACGAGCCACCCCAGUGCCGCAGGGAAGCCGUUAAGCAUGCCGCCUGGGAAGUACGAUCGCAAGAUUGAAACUUAAAGGAAUUGGCGGGGGAGCAC